rnacentral:rRNA from 1 species
GACGAACCGUGCGAACGUUGUUCGGAAUCACUGGGCUUAAAGGGCGCGUAGGCGGGCUGUCAAGUCAAGGGUGAAAUCCUGCGGCUCAACCGUAGAAGAGCCCCUGAUACUGACGGUCUGGAGGGAGGUAGGGGCGUGUGGAACUUCCGGUGGAGCGGUGAAAUGCGUAGAGAUCGGAAGGAACGCCGGUGGCGAAAGCGGCACGCUGGACCUCUACUGACGCUGAGGCGCGAAAGCCAGGGGAGCAAACGGG